UACGGAAGGCAGCAGUGGGGAAUAUUGCACAAUGGGCGAAAGCCUGAUGCAGCUAUGCCGCGUGUAUGAAGAAGGCCUUAGGGUUGUAAAGUACUUUCAUCGGGGAGGAAAAAACAAAACUAAUAAUUUUAUUUCUUGACGUUACCCGAAAAAGAAGCACCGGCUAACUCCGUGCCAGCAGCCGCGGUAAUACGGAGGGUGCUAGCGUUAAUCAGAAUUACUGGGCGUAAAGAGCACGUAGGUGGUUUUUUUAAAGUCAGAUGUGAAAUCCCUGGGCUUAACCUAGGAACUGCAUUUUGAAACUGAAAUACUAGAGUAUCGUAGAGGGAGGUAGAAUUCUAGGUGUAGCGGUUGAAAUGCGUAGAUAUCUGGAGGAAUACCUGUGGCGAAAGCGGCCUCCUAAACGAAUACUGACACUGAGGUGCGAAAGCGUGGGGAGCAAACAGGGAUUAGAUACC
rnacentral:rRNA from 1 species